GAUGAACGCUGGCGGCGUGCUUAACACAUGCAAGUCGAGCGAAGCACUUAAGUUUGAUUCUUCGGAUGAGGACUUUUGUGACUGAGCGGCGGACGGGUGAGUAACGCGUGGGUAACCUGCCUCAUACAGGGGGAUAACAGUUAGAAAUGGCUGCUAAUACCGCAUAAGACCACAGUACUGCAUGGUACAGUGGUAAAAACUCCGGUGGUAUGAGGUGGACCCGCGUCUGAUUAGGUAGUUGGUGAGGUAACGGCCCACCAAGCCGACGAUCAGUAGCCGACCUGAGAGGGUGACCAGCCACAUUGGGACUGAGACAUGGCCCAGACUCCUACGGGAGGCAGCAGUAGGGAAUAUUGCACAAUGGGCGAAAGCCUGAUGCAGCGACGCCGCGUGAAGGAUGAAGUAUUUCGGUAUGUAAACUUCUAUCAGCAGGGAAGAAAAUGACGGUACCUGACUAAGAAGCCCCGGCUAACUACGUGCCAGCCGCCGCGGUAA
rnacentral:rRNA from 1 species